CCUACGGGCGGCUGCAGUGGGGAAUAUUGCACAAUGGGGGAAACCCUGAUGCAGCGACGCCGCGUGAGUGAAGAAGUAAUUCGUUAUGUAAAGCUCUAUCAGCAGGGAAGAAAAUGACGGUACCUGAGUAAGAAGCCCCGGCUAACUACGUGCCCGCAGCCGCGGUAAGACGUAGGGGGCAAGCGUUAUCCGGAUUUACUGGGUGUAAAGGGAGCGUAGACGGCAGGGCAAGUCUGGAGUGAAAGGCGGGGGCUUAACGGCGGGACUGCUCUGGAAACUGGCGGGCUGGAGUGCAGGAGAGGUAAGGGUAAUUCCGAGUGUAGCGGUGAAAUGCGUAGAUAUUAGGAGGAACACCAGUGGCGAAGGCGGCUUACGGGACCGUAACUGACGUUGAGGCUCGAAAGCGUGGGGAGCAAACAGGAUUAGAUACCCGAGUAGUC
rnacentral:rRNA from 1 species